AGACUGCAUUUUUAUUCCUGCCUUCCUCUCACUGGCAGUUGCUGGUACAGUGCUGCAGCUGGCUGAGCAAAUGGUUUCUCUUAGAGCUGAUAAAGCUGCCUUAUGAAAUCAGCUGACAGGUAUAUUAUACCUACAGAUGAUGCUUUUUCUCACAGAGUUUGGUUUGAGAUUGACCCACUCAGUGAUUGCUCAACAAUAUACUCAACAGAUACUCUAAACAAAAGACUAAAUUUUUGUCCAGUUUUGUGAAUAUAAAGACUUAUCUGAACUCUAAAUACUUAAGUUAUUAUUGUACAAUAAAUAGUAUUAGCAAGAUCCUGGAUCUAAAAGUUAUCAUUUCUCUGAAUUUUUGGUCAUGAAGGAAGAAAAUUACUUUUGAAUUAAAAAAAUAAAGAAUUAAGGCCCUUCAGUUUUCAUUCUUCAUUCUGGAGUAGCAUGAACGAUGUUUGAAAUGGCUGAUUUCCAUUUUUGCUUUGACCUGAAUCAUUUGCUUAGGUUUUUUUUUUUUUAAUGUAAUAUAUUGCUUGGGGAUCGGUAUAUUUUUACUGAUUUAUUAGUUCUAUCUAAACUGUUAGAAAGCCAAGUUUAUCAUAUGUAACUCCUACUUAUAUAUUCCUCUCUUUCUCCCCCAGGGAUGAACUGUAAAAGCAACAUCAGCUUGACCAGUAUAAUAAUAUUACAGUGGAUUGCUCAUCUCAGUCUUCAAAGCUUUUGAAAAUCAACAGCAUCACAGCUUGUUUUGAACUUUCUUACACUAUUUUCAGCAUGAAAAUGUGUGGAUU
rnacentral:lncRNA from 1 species